UACCAGCACCCCGAGUGGUCGGGACGAUUAUUGGGCCUAAAGCAUCCGUAGCCGGUCUUGCAAGUCUUCCGUUAAAUCCAGCUGCUUAACAGAUGGGCUGCGGAGGAUACUACAAGGCUAGGAGGCGGGAGAGGCAAGCGGUACUCAGUGGGUAGGGGUAAAAUCCUCUGAUCCAUUGAAGACCACCAGUGGCGAAGGCGGCUUGCUAGAACGCGCUCGACGGUGAGGGAUGAAAGCUGGGGGAGCAAACCGG
rnacentral:rRNA from 1 species